rnacentral:misc_RNA from 1 species
AGAACAACUCGGUCCUUUUCUUCCUCUGCUGCUACAGGCAAUGAGGCUGAGAAAACAAAAAUAAGUGAAUCGUACGCUCCCAACCUCAAAGAUCUCAUUUUUGGAGGGGAUCACCUUAGCUAUGACGAUCUGCUAUCUAGUUUUCCCACUAGAGGUGUCCAGAUUUCUCAGAUAGUACAUCUUUUGGGUCCCUUGAACGCCCCC